rnacentral:rRNA from 1 species
UUUAUUGGAGAGUUUGAUCCUGGCUCAGGAUGAACGCUGGCGGCGUGCCUAAUACAUGCAAGUCGAGCGAAUGGAUUAAGAGCUUGCUCUUAUGAAGUUAGCGGCGGACGGGUGAGUAACACGUGGGUAACCUGCCCAUAAGACUGGGAUAACUCCGGGAAACCGGGGCUAAUACCGGAUAAUAUUUUGAACCGCAUGGUUCGAAAUUGAAAGGCGGCUUCGGCUGUCACUUAUGGAUGGACCCGCGUCGCAUUAGCUAGUUGGUG